rnacentral:rRNA from 1 species
CCCUUAGAUGUUCUGGGCCGCACGCGCGCUACACUGAUGCAUUCAACGAGUCUAAAACCUGGUCUGAUAGGGCUGGGUAAUCUUUUGAAAGUGCAUCGUGAUUGGGAUAGAUGAUUGCAAUUCUUCAUCUUCAACGAGGAAUGCCUAGUAAACGCAAGUCAUCAGCUUGCAUUGAUUACGUCCCUGCCCUUUGUACACACCGCCCGUCGCUCCUACCGAUUGAAUGAUCCGAUGAAUACAAUGGAUCGAGAGUACGAACAGUUUCGAUUGUUUCUGCUUUCUCGAGAAGUUGAGUAAAUCUUNUNAUUUAUNGGAAGGAGAANUCGUANCA